rnacentral:lncRNA from 1 species
GGGAACCAAUCACUCUUAGAGAAUUUGAUGUUGUAGUUGUUCCAUACUUCAUGGGGAGUGACUGCAUUGAAAUCUUUCUGCAAUGUGUUGCAGACGUGGAGGAAAUAUUUGAUUCAAUAGCGAUCCCAAAAGAGAAGAUGUUGAAAAUUGUUGCGUCAUGUUUAGAAGACCGUGUCGCUUCUUGGUGGGAUCAGAUGUGAAAAUCUAGGAAGCAACAAAGUAAGAAUCUUAUCAGUUCCUGACGUUGGAUGAAGAGAUUUUUGUGAAAAAAUUCUUUCCUUUUGAAUAUGAUAUAUAUUUGUUAAGGAAUGAUUACAAGAUUGCUCAACCCAAUAUCAUGGUGACUUAAGAAAAGAUAGAGGAAGAUCUCAAAAAGGAAGAAACUGUGAUGGAUGCUGAAUUAAUUGAAGAUCUAAUAAUCCACAAGACGGAGGAAGAGAUUCCUAUUGUCGUUGAAACCGAUAUUUCAAAAGAUAAAGAACAACAAUUGGAUUUCCUUUGAAAUUCAAGAUAUGGAUAAAUUUGAAUUUGGAGAGGAAAAUAAUUUAUACAAGGAGUUUGAUUCUCAACUGGCAUAUACUAAUCUUGUUUAUGGAAUUAAUUAUAUGAUUAUUCCAUCCAAAUAUGAGCAAGUUCAGACACCACAAAUUGAAGAGGUUAUUUACACAUCAAGUUCUAUGUUACUCAAGUUCAUUUUAAAGACACCUCGAGGUCGAGUUCUUUACAAGUGAAGGGGUCUCAUGUAAGACGAAAUAUGAGUCAAUUAUGGUAUGAAAAAUUAAUUAAAAUAAAGUGGUUCAAAGUUGGAAGGAAAUCGUGCAAGAGAGGAGAAUUCCAAUUAAAUGUCAAUUAUGGCGCUAGGAAAAGAAGGAAGGCGUAUCGUUGGGAUUUUCUAAUUGAUCGAGGAAUUUUGAAGCAAUUAUGAUUCUAU